UUGCUAGCUUUGGCAGCACAUAUACUAAAAUUGGAAUGAUACAGAGAAGGUUAGCAUGGCCCCUGUGAGAGGGUGACAUGCAAAUUUGUGAAGCCUUCCAUCCAAAA
ensembl:snRNA U6 U6 spliceosomal RNA